ACUAGCCAUUAUAUAUAAAAACAUGUACGUCAUAUCUAUGUGUCUCAUUAACAGUUUAUCAAUUACUUCAUUCUACAUCGGACACUCGGGUACUCAAAAUAAAUAAAAUCAGUUAACUGAUAAUUUCGAAGUGCAAGAUGGCAAAGAAUCAAAUUAUUUAUUUCAUUGUUAUUUCACUCGUUAUUGUAACUCUAGCGUUACAAGAAAUUGUUGAAAAUGAUGACUAUAAAAAAUGUGAAUUCCCAAAUGACAAUGUAUACGAAUUUAAACCUACUUACUGUCUUGGAUUAUGUGAAACCUGUUACCACUACGGAAAAGGUUGUUGUGAACCAUAUGAUUGUAUUCCAAAUCCUACUAUUGGUAGAAAUGUAUGUACUGUUGUGAAUAAAUAAAUAAAUAAAUUUUUUAUUUAUCAAAUAUGCAAUUUAAAAGCUUGAAUAUUUCACAGAAUAAUAAAUUGUCAUGACCAUAAAAAUUUUUUUUUUGUAUCUGAAAUAAAAU